GCCGGGAUGGCGGAAUGGUAGACGCUGCAGACUUAAAAUCUGUUGCCUGCAAGGGCGUGCGGGUUCGAGUCCCGCUCUCGGCACCA
rnacentral:tRNA from 1 species